rnacentral:lncRNA from 1 species
GCUGCUGGGAACCGGCCGGGGUGCCGGGUCGAAAGACAGACGCGCGGGCCGGGCGUGCGCGGGCUUGGUGGAGGGCGGGAAGGCUGAAGGGCGGUGACAGGUCGCACUGCCUCGCGAGGGCCAGAACGCCCAUUUCUGCAGAGCUGCCUUAAUCCAUGUUCCCUUCGGGAUGCUGGUAUCCAACUGAGAAGUUGACGGAGCAUCUAUCGUGUGCCAGACACUGUGCUAAGUGCUAACGAGAAAUCGGUGAGCAAAACAGAAAAGAAAAAAAAAGAAGAAACGACUGCCAGCAUUGAACUUAGUACCUAGCAAAAGAUGGGGUCCUGGUAUGUUGCCCAAGCUGGUCUCAAACUCCUGGCCUCAAGCUAUCCUCCUGCCUCAACCUCCUGAAUUGGUAAGCUACAUUUUAAACACACUAUUAUUAUUCAUGGAAACUGACCAACUAAUUAUUCAGAAGAAAUUAAUUCUUCAACAUUAGCAUUUGGAGCUGGGAUGUUUUCAAUAAGCCCAGAUAGUUACUGAAUAUUUUUUCCCAAGGCCACAAGUCUUGGGAAAAGAAUAGUUUGUUUGCUUUUCUUUUAUUUUCUUUUUCUUAGACUUAAAAUCUUGGCUUGAGGCUGUGGUAUCUGAGCUGGCAAAUGGAAAAUUUGGACUGUCUAAUAAAAGUUGGGAAAGUGCAGAUUGUAAAAGAUGCGAGGGGUUGUUAAGUGGACAGUAUUAUUGGACAGGAGGGAAAUCUAUAGUAUUAACAGUUCAGUAGUAGUUCUGGCAUUGGGCACACAGGACAGGAGUAAACUGAGCAAGGCAUAGGAGAUCCCGUGCCUCCCUAUCACUGUCAGGUCACAAUGAGCUCCUCCUGCAUGAACAGCCAGAACCAACCACAAUGAAGGAUGCCAUGAGUCAGGUAGGCAAAGGAAAUCAGAAAGACCUGUGGAAGAAAAGCUGCACUGCCUAGCUUCAGAGCUCAAAGAGUCUGACUGCAGGCACAAGGAAAACAUAGAAUUAGAAAAAAACCUUUUCAGAAAGCAACUCUGCGGAGACAGGCUUGACUGAGCCCUGCCCCCAAGUUAAAUUGCUGCUGAAAACAGGUGCUGAUUGGACAUGCAAACUGAGAACUGCUAGUAUUACCAGCCAGAAGAAAAUAGUUCAUCUGAAGCAGUUAAAUUCCUGAAGAAUAUAUUACUGGCAUCGGUCCCACCCAAGUCUGAGUAGGAAUUUCAACUUCUAGUUGACCUCUUAUGGUUCUGACAAAACCAUACACCAUUCUUGAGGAUUUUAUGAACUCUAUUCACUAGAUUAUUUGGAAGGAACAGACUUUGUGCCUUAUCACUGUGUUGAUCAUGAGGUAACCACAGAGUGCAAAAUGGAGUAAUUUUGGAUUUUUUUGUCCUUUUCAUUGAAGUGUAAUUUACAUAAAGUACAAUUUACAGCCUUCGAUAUAUGGUUCUAUGAAUUUUGAUAAAUCAUCACAGUUGUACAAUCACAGUCUCUCCCUCUCAUACCCAGCCCCUGGCAAAAACUUACCUGUUUUCUUUCCCUAUCCUUUUACCUUUCCCAGAAAGUCACAUUAAUGGAAUCAUAUGUAAUGUAUUCCCUUUGGAGUCUGAAUUUGUGCACUUAGAAAAAUGCUUUGGAACUUUGUCCAUGUUGUUUCAUGUGUCAGUAGUUUGUUACUUUGUAUUGCUGAGUAGUAGUGCAUUAUGUGCAUAUAUGGACAUGUACCACAGUUUAAUCAUUGUUUAGAAGACACUGGGUUGUUUUCCCUUUUAGGAGAUUAUGAAUAAGCCUGGCAUAAAAAUUUGCAUAGAAAUAUGUGUGUGAAUACAAGUUUUUUAUUCUCUCAGGUGAAUGUACAGAAGCAGGAUUGCUGGAUUGUAUGGUAAUUGUGUGCUUACUAUUAUGAGAAACUGCUAGCUGAUUUUUGAAAGUGGCUAUUCUGCAUUGCCACCAGCAAUAUAUGUUGCUGAACAUUUUUGCCAGCACUGGGCAUUGUCAUUAAAAAAAAUCGCCAGCCUGAUAUGUGUGAAGUGAUACCACAUACGGGUUUUAAUUUGUAUUUUCCCAACAGCAGCAUGUUAAAUUCAUGUGUUUAUCUUCUAUAGUAAACUGCCCAAAAAUUUUUUGCCCAUUUUUAAAAGGUUGUUUGUUUAUCUUAAUAUUCUGUUUUGAUGUAGUAAAAUUUAUUCUUUAUACAUUGGGCUUUAUGUGUUCUACCUAAUAGAGUCUUUACUUACCCCAAGAUGGUAAAGGUCUCUUUCCUAUAUUAUAUUCUAGAAGUUUUAUAGAUUUGAUUUUAGAUAUAGGUUUAUCAUCCAUUUCAAUUUAAAAAAUUUUAAAUCUAUUUUUUCUUUUCUUUUCUUUUUUUUUUUUUUUUGAGUCAGUGUCUGGCUCUGCCACCCAGGCUGGAGUGCAGUGGUGCGAUCUCGGCUCACAGCAACCUCUGCCUCCUGUGCUCAAGAGAUCCUCUCACCUCAGCCUCCUAUGUAUCUAAGACUACAGGUCACACCACCAUACCUGGCUAAUUUUUGUGUUUUUUUUUUUGGUUUUUUUUUUUUUUUUUUGUAGACACAGGGUUUUACCAUGUUGCCUAGGCUGGUCUUGAACUUCUGAGCUCAAAUGAUCUGCCCACCUUGGCCUCCCAAAGUGCUAGGAUUACAGGCGUGAUCCACCAUGCUUGGCCUCAUCCAUUUCAGUUUAACUUUUGUAUAAAUUGAUGGUAUGGGUUAAGCUUCGAUUUUUUUCAAAUAGGUAUCCAAUUGUUCCUGCACCAAAUAUAGAGGUAGGCUGAAAGAUGGGAGGUAAGGAGAGAUAAAGGCCUUUUUAAAGGAUAAGGAGACGAAGGUAGGGGGAGGUGAAAGUGUACUAAAUGUUUUAUCUUCCUGGCAUUGGAAAAAAAUGGGGAAGAAAUAGAACAUUUUGAUAGAGGCCACAUUUGAUAUGCUAUUUUAAGUAAAUAGUAAAGAAAUAUGUGUAUUAGAAGAAAGGAAAAAUAGCAAACAGCAAUACAAAAUAAAUAGUAAAUAUAAAGCAAGCUGUAAAACAAAAUAAAACGUGAUACUUUAUAUUAUAUUUGAAUGGACUGAUCUCUCUCGUUAAAUUACAGAGGCAGGAGAUUAAAAAUACACUUAAAUAAAUUGAUACAUAUUUAACUUAAGGGGUUGGCCAAAAAUAUUAGGCAAAUGCAAAUAAAAAAAGAUACAAGUGGAAUUUAAAGUUAAAAGCACUAAACAGGACAAAUAAGAACAUUAUAUAAUUGUAAAAAUCAAGACUCUAAUAAACAUAAACAUAAACCUUUGUUCAGUAAACAACAUAGCAGCUAAAGAGAGUGGAAGGAGGUCAUUGAUUUAUAAACAGAAAUUAUUGGGUGAGGUUUUAGGAAAGAUAUGUAAAGAAGGCUGACUCAACUGGAAAAUGUCUUUUGCCCCUUCCCUUUCUUAUUUCUUCUGUCCAUAAUGUUGGAUAUGAUGGCCGAAAUUGCAACAGCCAUCUUGUGGCCAUGAAGCAACUUUGAGGAUACAAAGUAGAAUUCAAGAUUGCAAAGCUCAAAGGAAUCCAGAUUGUUAAUGACAUCAUAGAGCUGGCAUAUCUUUCCUGGACUAUCUGUUGCCAGAUUUGCUUUGUGUGUGUGAGAGAGAGAAAAUAAAUCUCUUUCUUGUUGAAAUUACUGUUGUGCUGGUUUUCUUUCUAGCAGCUGAAAACAAUUCCUGUCUGAUACAUAGAGGAUUUAAAUAACACAAUCAAUAAACUUGAGUUAAUAGGUAUGUGUGGAUUGGUGAGCAUACUAUUUUUGAGGAAAAGGGAGAAAGUAAUGGAAUAUUUAAAAUAUCAAUCAGGAUUUGGUCCAAAAAGAAAGAUGAAACAGAAUUUUAAAAUUAGUUCCCUUACAGAUUAUAUUUAAUCUGUAAAUAUAAUUUACAGAUCCAAUUUAAAUAAAAUGAUAAUAUAAAGGCGGCCUUUAUCUGCUUAUAUUAAAAACACAUUUAUAAAUAAACUUUGGAUCAAAGAAAAAAAGAAAAUUGAAAACUAUUCAGAAAGCAACGGGAGUAAUUUAAACCACAAUAUGUAUUCUCAGAGGAAAAUUCAUAGCCUUAAAUGUCUUCAUUUUAAUAAAAGAAUAUAACAAAUAAUUAUUCAUCUAAAAUAUUAGAAAAAGAACAGUGAAAAAGCAAUUCAGAAAUGUAAAAGCUAAAAUUAAUGAAUUAAGAAAAAUGUUAGUAGAUAGGAUAAAACGCAAAUGCUUUUACAUUGAAAAUACCUAUAAAUUAGCUAAACCCUUUGCAAGAUUAAGAAAAAACGUAGAGAAACCAAAAAUUAACAAAAUUUGCAAGCAGAAAGAAGAUGUAAACACAUAUAAAAUAUAUAGUGAGAAUUAUAAGUAAAUAAUUACAUAUGUGUGUUUAGCAGCAGAUCUGAAAACAGAGAGGGCUUACUGAUUUCCUUUUAGUAUAUGAUAACAAAAAUUGACCAAAGUAGAAGUUAGAAAAAGGAAAAGACUAAUUUCAUGUAAGAGAUUGAAAAAAUAAUUUACAAUGUACCAUGGCAAAAACCACCAGAAAAAUGUUGGAUAAACUAUUCCAAACAUCUCAAAAGUGUUAUCUGAGCUCAAAAGCAAAUAAGGGCAAUUCCCAGGGAAUGAACCAAAUGAAAUUGAAAACCACUGGGGUAAGCUAGAACCGGAGCUGAAGCUAUGGCUGUCAUGCUUGCCAAUCUCAGUUAAAAAAAAAAAAAAUGUGGGGUUAGAAUACAAUGACUGUGGCAGGACAGAAGAUAAACUCAUGAAUCAUCACAUAAAACUGGGGUAUUCCUAAUGAAAAAUGAACUAAAAAAUUGUUUUCCAAAGUGUUUAUAUGUGUACAUACUCCCACCAGUACUUCCUAAUGAUAUUCAUGCUGAAAAACAUUUGGUAUUAUCAGACUUCUGAAUUUUUGACAAGCUAGUGGAUAUAAAAUUAUAUUUAUAUUCCUCUGAUUAUUAAUUUAUUAAUGAGGUUGAAGAUCUUUUUACAUGGUUAUAUGACAUUCAUUUUUCACCUUCUGUGAAAUGUUUGUUCACGACUUUUACCCAGUUUUCUAUUCAAUUGUUUGUUUUAUUGAUUUGUAGGAGUUCUUUAUGUAUUCUAGAUAUUAAUGUUUUGACAGGCAUAUUUGUUGCAAAUAUCCUCUCAUAGUUUGACUUGUCUUUUUAAUUUGUCUUUACUUUGCUUUUUGCUUUUUUUUAAAAAAAAAUUCUUAAUCCAAUGACAGAUUAUGGGUUGUCUUUUUCUGUGAACAAAAGUUAAUGAUUUUAAUAAAUUCAAAGUUAUUAUUUUAUUGUCAUUCUUUAUGUGUCUUAAGAAAUGCUUUCUUAGUGUGAGUUUGUAAAGAUAUAGUCCCAUGGUAUGUUUUAAAUUUUAAAAUUUGUUUUGUCACAUUAAAAUUUUAACCCCCAAAAUGGGAGAAGGGCAGAGCAAGAUGGCCAAAUAAAAUGCUCCACCAACUGUCCCACCCGCAAAGACACCAAUUUAACAUCCAUACUAAAAACAAAAAAGCACAUUCAUAAGAAUCCCAAAUCAGGUAACCAGCUUGGGCACAGUGGGGCAGAGUACCAAGCAGACUCUUGGGAUUCCUUUUUCCAGGACUUGACUCUUUGAUGGCAUUCCUGGACCUGCCCUGGGCCAGCGGGGAGCCCACUGCCCCAAAACCUGAGUCCUAGGCCAGGCAGCAUUCACCACACGUUAACUGAUAAUCCUUUGGGGCCUUAAGGGAACAUCUGCGGUAGUCUGGCAGUAGGUUCCAUGACCUGUGGUGGCACUGGCUAUGGGGUGAGGCUCCUCUGACUUUGGAAAGGGGAGGAAACAGUGGGAAAGGCUGCAUCUCAUGGUUUGAGUGCCAGCUCAACCACAGUACAGUAGAACACCAGGUAGACUUCUAAGGUUUUUGACUCCAGUCUCCAGCUCCUGGAUGGACAGCACCUCUGGAUCUGCCUGUGGCCCUGGGGAACUUGCUGCCUUGAAGAGAAGAACAAGAGGCUAGCUGGCUUUACCAACUGCUGAUUGUAGAGUCCCAGGGCCUUGAGCAAAUGUAGGCGGUAGCCAGGUAGUGGUUACAGCAAGCUAUGGACAACACAUAGUGCUGUGCUGGCUUCAAGUCUGACCCAGUGCAGUUCUAGUGGUGGUGGAUGCAAGGGUGCUUGUAUCACUCCACCCCUAGCUCCAGGUAGCUUAGAACAGAGAGAGAGACUCCAUUUGUUUGGGAGAAAGUAAAGGAAGAGAACAAGAGUCUCUGCCUGGUAAUUCAGGGAAGUCUUUCAGAUCUUAUUCAAGACCAUAAGGUGGUACCUCUACGAGUCUCCAAGAACCACAGAGUUACAGGGCUUGGGCUUCCCCCUAAUGCAAAUAUGGGUUAGAUCGCAACACUCAAGUCCUUUUGAAUACCUGGAAAGCCUUCCUAAGAAAGAUUGGUACAAACAAGCCCAGACAUCGAAGACUACAAUAAAUACCUAACUCUUCAAUGCCCAGACACAGAUGAACAUCCAAGAGCAUCAACACCAUCCAGGAAAAGAACCUCACCAAAUGAACUAAAUAAGGUGCCAAGGACCAAUCCUGGAGAAACAGAGAUGUGAACUUUCAGACAGAAAAUUCAGAAUAGCUGUGUUGAAGAAACUCAAAGAAAUUCAACAUAACACAGAGAAGAAAUUCAGAAUUGUAUCAGAUAAAUGUAACAAAGAGGCAGAAAUAAAUGAAAGGAAUCAAGCAGAAAUUCUGGACUUGAAAAAUGCAGUUGACAUACUGAAGAAUGCAUUAGAUUCUCUUAAUAGCAGGAUUGAUAAAGCAGAAGAGAUAAUUAGCGAUCUUGAAGACAGGCUAUUUGAAAGUACACAGUCACAGGACACAGAAAAGAAUAAAAAACAAGGAAGCAUGCCUACAGGAUAUAGAAAAUAGCCUCGAAAUGGCAAAUCUAAGGGUUAUUGGCCUUAAAGAGGAGAUAGAGAAAGAGAAGGAUUAGAAAGUUUAUUAAAAGGGACAAUUACAGAAAACUUCCCAAACCUAGAGAGAGAUAUCAACAAUCAAUUACAAGAAGGUUAUGGAACAUUAAGCAGAUUUAACCCCCAAAAAGACUACUUCCAGGCAUUUAAUAAUCAAACUCCCAAAGGUCAAGGAUAAAGAAGGGAUCUUAAAUGCAGAAAGAUAAAAGAAACAGAUAACAUACAAUGGAGCCCCAAUACAUCUGGCAGCAGAUUUCUCAGUGAAAACCCUACAGGCCAGGAGAGAGUGUCAUGACAUAUUUAAAGUGCUAAAGGAAAAAAUCUUUUAACCUAGAAUAGUAUAUCCGGUAAGAAUAGCUUUCAAAUCUGAAGAAGAAAUACUUUCCCAACAAACAAAAGCUGAGGGAUUUCAUCAACAUCAGAGCUUCCCUACAAGAAAUGCUAAAGGAAGUACUUCAAUCAGAAAGAAAAUGACGUUAAUGAUCAAGAUGAAAUCAUCUGAAGGUAUGCAACUCAAUGGCAAUAAUAAGUAUAUAGAAAAAUGCAUAAUAUUAUAACACUGUAACUGUGGUGAGUGAACUCCUCUUAUGUAGAAAGACUAAAGGAUAAACCAAUUAAAAAUAAUAAUAAUAACUGCCAGGCACGGUGGCUCAUGUCUGUAAUCCCAGCACUUUGGGAGGCCGAGGCAGGCGGAUCACUAGGUCAGG